GGUAACAUUUCUAGCUUGCUAGAAGAUGACGAGUGGCGGACGGGUGAGUAAUGCUUGGGAACUUGCCUUUGCGAGGGGGAUAACAGUUGGAAACGACUGCUAAUACCGCAUAAUGUCUUCGGACCAAACGGGGCUUAGGCUCCGGCGCAAAGAGAGGCCCAAGUGAGAUUAGCUAGUUGGUAAGGUAACGGCUUACCAAGGCGACGAUCUCUAGCUGUUCUGAGAGGAAGAUCAGCCACACUGGGACUGAGACACGGCCCAGACUCCUACGGGAGGCAGCAGUGGGGAAUAUUGCACAAUGGGGGAAACCCUGAUGCAGCCAUGCCGCGUGUGUGAAGAAGGCCUUCGGGUUGUAAAGCACUUUCAGUUGUGAGGAAAAGUUAGUAGUUAAUACCUGCUAGCCGUGACGUUAACAACAGAAGAAGCACCGGCUAACUCCGUACCAGCAGCCGCGGUAAUACGGAGGGUGCGAGCGUUAAUCGGAAUUACUGGGCGUAAAGCGCACGCAGGCGGUUUGUUAAGCUAGAUGUGAAAGCCCCGGGCUCAACCUGGGAUGGUCAUUUAGAACUGGCAGACUAGAGUCUUGGAGAGGGGAGUGGAAUUCCAGGUGUAGCGGUGAGAUGCGUAGAUAUCUGGAGGAACAUCAGUGGCGAAGGCGACUCCCUGGCCAAAGACUGACGCUCAUGUGCGAAAGUGUGGGUAGCGAACAGGAUUAGAUACCCUGGUAGUC
rnacentral:rRNA from 1 species